AGUGAACGCUGGCGGCGUGCUUAACACAUGCAAGUCGAACGAGAACGGAAUAUAGCUUGCUAUAUUUGUCAGCUAAGUGGCGCACGGGUGAGUAAUGUAUAGAUAACCUGCCCUUAAGAAAGGAAUAACAGUUGGAAACGACUGCUAAUGCCCUAUAUGCCUUUAAUACAUAAGUAUGCAAGGGAAACGCUUUAGUGCUUAAGGAUGGGUCUGUAUGGUAUCAGCUUGUUGGUGAGGUAAUGGCUCACCAAGGCUAUGACGCCUAACUGGUUUGAGAGGAUGAUCAGUCACACUGGAACUGAGACACGGUCCAGACUCCUACGGGAGGCAGCAGUGGGGAAUAUUGCACAAUGGACGAAAGUCUGAUGCAGCAACGCCGCGUGGAGGAUGACACAUUUCGGUGCGUAAACUCAAUUUAUAUAGGAAGAUAAUGACGGUACUAUAUGAAUAAGCACCGGCUAACUCCGUGCCAGCAGCCGCCGUAA
rnacentral:rRNA from 1 species